GACUAAACUUUUUUUAUAUUAAGAACUAAACUUGUGAUCCACUUGAUGAAUACAACUUAGUCAUUAUUCUGUACAAGGCAAUCAGCUUGUGUUUUUUUUUUUUGAGUAGAGAAAAUUAAAAUCAAAAAUCUGAAAGUCAAAUUUGACUUCAUUAAAAAAAUCUUCCGUCUUCUGUAAGUCAAUUUUUUUUCUUCUUCGAUUGACUAAACUUUUUUUUAUAUUGAUAACUAAACUUGUGAUCCACUUGAGAUGAAUACAACUUAGCCAUUAUUCUGUACAAGGCAAUCAGCUUUUUUUUUAGUAGAGAAAAUUAAUAUAAAAAAUCUGAAAGUCAAAUUUGACUUCAUUAAAAAAAAAUCUUCUGUCUUCUGUAAGUCAAAAUGUUUUCUUCUUCAAUUGACUAAACUUUUUUUUAUAUUGAGAACUAAACUUGCGAUCCACUUGAGAUGAAUACAACUAAGCCAUUAUUCUGUACUCUGGUCCUUUUUUUUUUUUUUUUUU